UAGUUUCAGUCACAUAGAGAUAUAGGUGUCGAUGUGGGAAAGCACUUUCAAAUACAUCUCUUUAAAUUAGUUGUCGUUAGUUAUGUAUUGUUUUAGUUUUAAGUUACCUUUUUAAUUUACUUUUGUAAAUUUCAGAAUAUUCUCCAAUGGCAUAAGAUUGUAAAUAAUUUAAAAAAGUAAGAGCAGAAUCCUCGUAAGGAUUCUACUUUAAUAAUAUAGAUUAGAUUUUCACCUGCACAACCGUGCGGAUAUAUAUUUUCACAUUUAUAUAUAUAGAUAUUUGUUUUACAUAAUUAUUAUAUAUUUUUAAUGUUACUCACAUAUUUAAAAGUUUAUAUAAUUAUACCAAAUAUAAUAAUUUUAUAGUUUUCAUGCUGUAAAUUUUUUUUUUUUUUUUACAGCAAAAAGAUUACAGACUCAUAUAGACUCUGUAAACCAAAGUGGUAACUCUGAAUCCAUGUGUACGACGAAAGACGGUUGUUGCCGAGCACUACGUGCCAAACUAUCCGCCCUUGUAUUCUCCGUCCUAGGUACAUGAACAAUAUCUG
rnacentral:lncRNA from 1 species